rnacentral:misc_RNA from 1 species
AAUCCAUCUCACCCUUUGUGCAUCACCGCGUGGGCACCCCUUUGGGAUCAUCUCGGAGGGGGCUCGCGUUUUCACACAAAACCCCCCUUUUAAAAGUGUAGAAUGACCUCAUUUAUGCGCUAACCCGCAAUCAAUACAACUUUCAACAACGGAUCUCUUGGCUCUCGCAUCGAUGAAGAACGCAGCGAAAUGCGAUACGUAAUGUGAAUUGCAGAAUUCAGUGAAUCAUCGAAUCUUUGAACGCACCUUGCGCCCCCUGGUAUUCCGAGGGGCACACCCGUUUGAGUGUCGUGAAAACCUCAACCUCCUUGGUUUCUUCUGGAGACCAAAGCAGGCUUGGACUUUGGAGGCCUUUGCUGGCACCUCUCGCCAGCUCCUCUUAAAUGAAUUAGCAGGGUCCUCUUUGCUGAUCCUCGACGUGUGAUAAGAUGUUUCCAUGUCUUGGUUUCUGGCUCUGUCACCUUUGGGACCCGCUUCUAACCGUCUUCAACCUUGCGUUGAGACAACGUUCGAGCAUGUCUCCCUUCUCGGGAAGCUCCCUCGACCCCACGAACCCUUGACCUCAAAUCGGGUGAGACUACCCGCUGAACUUAAGCAU